GAAAGAACAAACCCGCGAUACGAGCAGACACAAUAUUGUGUUACCUUGUGGGUUAUCAUAAGCGAGUAAGUUAAAAUCGUUCGAAGAAGAUAGGUGAACUUCCUAGUGGUAGUUAUUUGAAAGACAAAAAAGCAGAAAUGGAAUCCGAAAACAAACCUGAAAUUGUGGAAAAUCAAAGCGAAAUAAACCAAGAAAAGAAGGAAAAGCCAAAGCUUUUAAGAGCAGCGCCAACGAGAAAUCGCUUUGGAAGAACUCAGCCGAAGAAACACACACAGGAUCUCAAAGGAAAAGAAGAAACAAGUGAUAAGGAAAGCCACAAAUAAUGAUGUACGUGAUUGAAGGUCUGCGUAAUGUGUAGCGCAGAGCAGAAAAUAAAUUAUAUUGAGUUUAUGCUAUUGCAUGAACACAUUCUUAUAUGCGGUAAUAAAACAAUAUAACUAAGACAUCGUUAUUUGGCUUUACUCUCAUGAGUGAUUGAGCAACUUUUCCGGGACACAGUAUUAUUUUUGCCCUUCAUAUAGCUUUAGAAAUCGAUAUGAAACUAGCAUUUUUUCCGCAUGCGAACGUCUAAGGCUAACGGACAUUUAAGAUUAAGCCUUUGCGGGGCCCAAUUUAAACUCAAACAAACAAAAUUGUAGAUAACAUAUAGGAGUACAGCGGUUGAAUUUCGUGAAGAUAGUACUUAUUGUUUCGAAUUUUGGGGUGUACCAUCGCCUGGAAAAACGCGCCGCUGAAAAGUUCGACUAAGCCAGCAUUGUAGUAGUGAAAAACUUGUGUAGCAGAUUUAGCAUAGUCGAAGGUGCACCAUAAGAAGGCAUGCUCAGAUUCGCAAAAUUCUUGAAACAUUUUUGAUGUUUCGGAAAAAUGAGU